UACAGAGGGGGCAAGCGUUGUUCGGAAUUACUGGGCGUAAAGGGCUCGUAGGCGGCCAACUAAGUCGGACGUGAAAUCCCCAGGCUCAACCUGGGAACUGCGUCCGAUACUGGAUGGCUUGAAUUCGGGAGAGGGAUGCAGAAUUCCAGGUGUAGCGGUGAAAUGCGUAGAUAUCUGGAGGAACACCGGUGGUGUAGACGGCUCACUGGACCGUAACUGACGCUGAGACACGAAAGCGUGGGUAGCAAACAGG
rnacentral:rRNA from 1 species